AGCGGAGGAAAAGAAACCAACAGGGAUUGCCCUAGUAACGGCGAGUGAAGCGGCAACAGCUCAAAUUUGAAAGCUGGCUCCGGCCCGCAUUGUAAUUUGCAGAGGAUGCUUUUGGCGAGGUGCCUUCCGAGUUCCCUGGAACGGGACGCCAUAGAGGGUGAGAGCCCCGUAUGGAUGGACACCAAACCUGUGUAAAGCUCCUUCAACGAGUCGAGUAGUUUGGGAAUGCUGCUCUAAAUGGGAGGUAAAUCUCUUCUAAAGCUAAAUACCGGCCAGAGACCGAUAGCGCACAAGUAGAGUGAUCGAAAGAUGAAAAGCACCUUGAAAAGGGGGUUAAACAGUACGUGAAAUUGUUGAAAGGGAAGCGCUUGUGACCAGACUUGCGCCGGGCAGCUCAUCAGGGGUUCUCCCCUGUGCACUCUGCCCGGCUCAGGCCAGCAUCGGUUCUCGUGGGAGGAUAAGAACAGUGGGAACGUGGCCCCCUCUCGGGGGGGUGUUAUAGCCCAUUGUACGAUACUCUCGUGGGGACCGAGGUUCGCGCUCCGCAAGGAUGCUGGCGUAAUGGUCAUCAGCGACCCGUCUUG
rnacentral:rRNA from 1 species